rnacentral:piRNA from 3 species
UAGCUGUCUCUUGUGAGACUAUGCCGG